ACUCUGAAAGCAAGAAAACAUCCUUGAAAGAAACUUAAGACCUAAAUAAAAUCAUCCCAUGGGUUGAGAGAGACAUCUCAUGUUCAUGGAUUGGAAAACUUAAUAGUGUUGAUGAUAGUACUCCCCAAACUGAUCAAUACUAUCCCUAUCAAAACCCCAGUUGCCUUUUUUUUGGGGGGGGGUGGCAGGAAUAAACAAGUUGGUCCUAAAAUUCAUAUGGAAAUGCAAGGGACCUAGAACAGCCAAAAUAAUCUUGAAAAGAACAACAAAGUUGCAGAACUAACACUUCCUGAUUUCCAAAACUUACUACAAAGUUACAGUAAUCAAGACAGUGUGGUAUUGGCAUAAGAAUAGAAAUAUAGGUCAAUGGGACAGAAUUGAGAGUUGAGAAAUGAACCCUCACAUUUAAGGCCAAUUGAUUUUCAAAAAGAGUGCCAAAACAAUUCAAUAAUGGAAGAAAACAGUAUUUUCAACAAAUGGUGCUAGAACAACUCAAUAUUCACGUGCAAAAGAAUGAAGUUGGAUCCCAAAAUGGAUCGUAGAUCUAAGUGUAUGAACAAAAACUAUAAAACUCUUUGUGUGUGUGUGUGUGUGUGUGUGUGUGUGUGUGUGUGUGAUGGGGUUUCACUUUGUCACCCAGUUGGAGUGCAGUGGCGCGAUCUUGGCCACUACAACCUCCACUUCCCAGGCUCAAGUGAUCCUCCCACCUCAGCCUCCUGAGCAGUUGGGAUCACAGGCGCACACCACCACUCCGGCUAAUUUUUUGUAUUUUUGGUAGAGAAGGGGUUUCGCUAUGUUACCCAUGCUGUAAAACUCUUAGAAGAAAACACAGAAGUAAAUUUUCAUGACCUUGGGCUAGGCAAAUUCUUCUUAGAUGUGAUACAAGUGACAAAAGGAAAAAAUAGAUAAAUUGGACUUCACUGAAAUUGAAAACUUGUGCUGCAAGUGAUACUAUCCUGAAAAUGUAAAGACAACCCACAGAAUGGGAGGAAAUAUUUGCAAAUCACAGAUCUGAAAAGGGACUGGGGUCCUGAAUAUAUACAUAGGAUGGCUCAAUAAUUUAAAAAUCCACAACUUAAAAGUGGGCAAGAGAUCUGAAUAGAUAGUUCUCCAAAGAAGCUAUACAAAUGGCCAAUAAGCACAUGGAAAGG
rnacentral:lncRNA from 1 species